AAGAACCUUUGCGCUUUUGGAGCGGCCGAUGUCUGAUUAGCUUGUUGGUGAGGUAAAGGCUUACCAAGGCUUCGAUCAGUAGCUGGUCUGAGAGGACGGCCAGCCACACUGGGACUGAGACACGGCCCAGACUCCUACGGGAGGCAGCAGUGGGGAAUUUUGGACAAUGGGGGCAACCCUGAUCCAGCCAUGCCGCGUGAGUGAAGAAGGCCUUCGGGUUGUAAAGCUCUUUCAGCCGGAACGAAACGGUUACGGUUAAUACCCGUGACUACUGACGGUACCGGAAGAAGAAGCACCGGCUAACUACGUGCCAGCAGCCGCGGUAAUACGUAGGGUGCAAGCGUUAAUCGGAAUUACUGGGCGUAAAGCGUGCGCAGGUGGUUUUGUAAGUCAGAUGUGAAAUCCCCGGGCUUAACCUGGGAACU
rnacentral:rRNA from 1 species